AUUGCCUUAGUAGCGGCGAGUGAAGCGGCAAAAGCUCAAAUUUGAAAUCUGGCGCCUUCGGUGUCCGAGUUGUAAUUUGAAGAUUGUAACCUUGGGGUUGGCUCUUGUCUAUGUUUCUUGGAACAGGACGUCACAGAGGGUGAGAAUCCCGUGCGAUGAGAUGCCCAAUUCUAUGUAAGGUGCUUUCGAAGAGUCGAGUUGUUUGGGAAUGCAGCUCUAAGUGGGUGGUAAAUUCCAUCUAAAGCUAAAUAUUGGCGAGAGACCGAUAGCGAACAAGUACAGUGAUGGAAAGAUGAAAAGAACUUUGAAAAGAGAGUGAAAAAGUACGUGAAAUUGUUGAAAGGGAAGGGUUUGAGAUCAGACUCGAUAUUUUGUGAGCCUUGCCUUCGUGGCGGGGUGACCCGCAGCUUAUCGGGCCAGCAUCGGUUUGGGCGGUAGGAUAAUGGCGUAGGAAUGUGACUUUACUUCGGUGAAGUGUUAUAGCCUGCGUUGAUGCUGCCUGCCUAGACCGAGGACUGCGAUUUUAUCAAGGAUGCUGGCAUAAUGAUCCCAAACCGCCCG
rnacentral:rRNA from 1 species